UACGUAGGGUGCAAGCGUUAAUCGGAAUUACUGGGCGUAAAGCGUGCGCAGGCGGUUUUGCAAGUCUGUCGUGAAAGCCCCGGGCUCAACCUGGGAAUUGCGAUGGAGACUGCAAGGCUUGAAUCUGGCAGAGGGGGGUAGAAUUCCACGUGUAGCAGUGAAAUGCGUAGAGAUGUGGAGGAACACCGAUGGCGAAGGCAGCCCCCUGGGUCAAGAUUGACGCUGAUGCACGAAAGCGUGGGGAGCAAACAGG
rnacentral:rRNA from 1 species